rnacentral:misc_RNA from 1 species
CAAAAUUUGUAUCACAGCCCCACACAUGUAUAGCAAGUUGGCGACACUUCGGGGAUUCAGGCCUUAAAUAUGUGUUGUACCAGUUGAUUAGGUCAUUCUUUUGAAUUCUUUUCAGCUCCUCUGCCUCAAGUUUGUUAAUAUCAAAUAAAUACCUUUUAUCCACAAUUUGAGUCCAAUAAUGACCAGUUUCAUCUGUAAGUGAUGGGUCCUUUUCGAGUUUCUGUGCUAUCAGCCCAUUUCUGUGAUUCUCAAAAGAUUCAUCAUCAAGUCCAUCCAAGUAUUCCUGUAGACCAUUUAUGAAGUUGUUGAUCCUCCCAUGCACGUAAACUGGG